rnacentral:rRNA from 1 species
GCAAGGUGCUGCAUGGUUGUCGUCAGCUCGUGCCGUGAGGUGUCGGGUUAAGUCCCAUAACGAGCGCAACCCCUAUUGUUAGUUGCCAUCAGGUCAUGCUGGGGACUCUAACAAAACUGCCCGCGUAAGCGUGGAGGAAGGUGGGGAUGACGUCAAAUCAGCACGGCCCUUACGUCCAGGGCUACACACGUGCUACAAUGGCCGGUACAGAGGGCAGCCACUUGGUGACAAGGAGCAAAUCUCAAAAGCCGGUCUCAGUUCGGAUCGGAGUCUACAACUCGACUCCGUGAAGUUGGAUUCGCUAGUAAUCGUAGAUCAGCAAUGCUACGGUGAAUACGUUCCCGGGCCUU